CAGCAGCCAGCGUCUUCCCUGGGGGCGGAGCUUGUUUUCCUCAGGAGGGAGCUGGGGCAGCCAUGGCGGCUCCAGGACCGCGCGGCCCGGGUGUCCGCUGGAGGAGGACGCUCCCCGCCUGCUGUCUGAGGUUAUGCCGGUUUCCCGCGGCCUGAGCCCACUUCCUGUCGGGGUGUGUGUGGACCUGACGGAGCUGGGGCCCCGGCCGGGCAGGAGGGGACGGGUGCGCUGGCGGGCCCGCUUCGACUAUUCUCCUCGCCCACCGGGAGCGGGCCAUUUGAAUAUGUUCACCCAUGAAGUGAAAUAGACUACCUGAAUUCUGAGUCCUGAGAGACAUCUCUGGUGAAAUUCUUCUUAGACAGUGACCCAGGACACAGCCCUAGCAGCCCUGACAACCACCACUCUGUUCUCUGUUUGUGUGAAUUUGGCUUUUUUAGAUUACAUGUGUAAGUGAAAUCAUGCAGUUCUACUUUUUCUUUUUUCACAGUCUGCAGUGUGUUGAUUUGAUCCACUUACAUACAGCAAUGUGACCACAAACAGCUUUAACUAACACCUCUCACAUGACUCACAAGUAUAAUUUUCUUUAUUUUUUGUGACAAGAACAUUCACAAGAUAGUAUCUUAGCAACUUUGAAGAUUGAUACAUCUCUGUUUUCUGUAAUCACUGUGCUGUGCAUUUGAUCUGCAUGACUUAUUUAUCUUCGGGUUGCAAGUUUGUACCCUUUAAUGUCUCCACAGUUCCUCCACCCCAACACCAUUCUACUCUUUGUUUCUAAGAGUUUGUUUGUUUUUUUACAUGUAUACCUGAUAUCUUACAUU